AAAUAGCCCCGAUGGAAGCGAAAAUCCUUUUAAUUUUUUUCUAUUUUUAAAAUUAAUACUACAAAAAAUUAAAAGAUUGCAGCGUACAGCGGGAACAUGG
rnacentral:sRNA from 1 species